UACGUAGGGGGCUAGCGUUGUCCGGAUUUAUUGGGCGUAAAGAGCGUGUAGGCGGCCAGGUAGGUCUGCUGUGAAAACUCGAGGCUCAACCUCGAGACGUCGGCGGAAACCAUCUGGCUAGAGUCCGGAAGAGGAGAGUGGAAUUCCUGGUGUAGCGGUGAAAUGCGCAGAUAUCAGGAAGAACACCAGUGGCGAAGGCGGCGAUCUGGGUCGAUACUGACGCUGAGGUGCGAAAGCGUGGGGAGCGAACGGG
rnacentral:rRNA from 1 species